rnacentral:lncRNA from 1 species
GUGUUAGAAGCUGGUAAAACAUCCUCUUUCCCCUACAUCAAAGUGGAAACAAAAUAAUUUGGAGUUCAUGUAAUGAAAACCUCAAUUUCAGGGAUCUAAAGGCCCUUUUAAGAAAAAUCACAAGGAAGGAGGUAAUCUGGUCUCAGAUUCUGGAAUGCAGGCAGCUUGAGGAGGAGAAUCAGUGUUUUGGUGAUACCUGGAAUAAAAUGAAAGUGAAGAGCUAGCAGUACUUUGUACCAUGACACUUCCUGGGCACAUACCAUGGGCCAGCACCACACUAAACACGUUAUUGGGACAUCUCAAUUACCAGUGGGCACAAUUUAUAAGGAGAGAAGAAUCUUGGGCUUGCAGAAGUUGUUUGUUAUUAUACACCUUCACGCUUUGCUCUUUUCACUUUAUGGUAUAUAAUAGUGACUUCUCUGCUGUGCACCACACCUAGUUCUAAGUGCUUCAUGCAUAUUAACUCAUUUAAUGCUCUCAUCAAUACUGCGAGGCAAGUUGUGUUAUUAUCUCUACUUUAUAAAUGAUUAUAUUGAGACACAGAGAGGUUAAGUGAUUGUCCAAGAUCACACAGCUAGUAAGAACCAGAUUUCAGACUUGGGCAGUCUGGCUCCAGAGUCUGUGUUCUUAUUCUCUACUCUAAGCUGCCUUUCUGAUAUUAUAUAUUACAUAUUACAUAUAAAGAAAAUAUAUCAUGAAUGUAUAAUGCAGAUCACAUAUUAAAAAAUCAAUUGUCUUUUAUAUUAUGUGAAUUAUAUACCUUCUGUAUGGAAUGUUAAAUGCCUACCCUGUCAGUACAUAGAGGGCUGUCUCACUUUUUAAACAUCUGUUUAAACAUCUGUGUAGUACUCUGUUAUGCCAGUGUUGUGUAAUUUAUCUAACCAGUCUCCUAUUGAUGAACAUUUUGGUUGUUUCCAAACCUUUUGCUAUAAUAACAAU